UCUGAGGCUGUUAUUAUCUUACCAUAGUCGGUUAAACAUUGAGAAGACCACACCACCCACACGAGAGAAUUUACACAUGGAGCGCACACAAAGUACACACAUACACCCAUCACUCGCUAGCAUGCGGCGAGCAAAGAGCAAACUGAGGUAACAAAAGAAAGUUACAAGCACUAGUAUAGUAGUACUGCUACUAAGCUUAGGAGAAACUACAUGCAGCCUCGGACAGCAACGUACGUACGCAGGAUUUAGAUAACCAAAAGAGCAGCAAACAUGGCGUCGUCCCAGAUCGAAGUUGUCGAUCGAGCACCCCCGUCUUCCUCUUCUUUAGCGGUGGUUGCUCCUGGUCCUGGUCUCGUCGCUGUAAAGCCUGGACAUCAAACGUACGCACGUACGUUGCACCGUUAUUAUUUCCAUGCAUGCUGCUAACCCGUUCCAAGCCCCAGUAGACAGUGCUAUCAAAAACCCAUUUUAUAUUGCGAGAUGGAUCAUGAGCUAGCGUACGUACCAGUCGUAGACGGUGGGAGAGUUGGGCUGGGGGCGGUCGAAGAGGUUGGCGCCGAGGCCCUUGGUGGCGAGGUUGCUCCCGGGGUGGAAGACGCUCCGCCACACGCUGCCGCCGCGCGGCGGCGUCGUCGACGACGACGACGGCGUCACCGGCGUGGUCGGGGUCGUCGGCAUCGACUGCGACGGCUUCAUCGCCUCCCCCGCAGCUGCACCCCCACCAA
rnacentral:lncRNA from 1 species